rnacentral:lncRNA from 1 species
GAGCGGACUCCCUGCAGAAGGGAAGCGUUGCCAUGGCUGCGGGAGGCGAGCUGCAGGACUGAUGGUACCCCUGGCAGCCCUGGGACGGUCAGUGGCCUGGGGGCAGGAUGAAGGUGAGUCCAUACUCAGUAAGAGCAGUGACAGUCAUAGCCAGUGUAACUGUGCGAUCCGUGAAUACAUUGUAAUCUGAUUAUAGCUGUAUGGGGGGGAGGGGAGGGGCUGGUAAUGGAAAUCUGAGAGUGUACCAUGAAUCCUGCAACUGGUGGGCGGCCAAUGGCUGGCCAUCACUGGGAUUAUAUAGUGUAAGGAAUACAAAUAAUUAAUAAUAAUAAUAAUAUUUAUAUAGUGUCAUUACUGGGAUUAUAUAGUGUAAGGAAUACAAACUAUUAUUAUCAUAUUUAUAUAGUGCCAUUACUGGGAUUAUAUAGUGUAAGAAAUACAAAUUAUUAUUAUAUUUAUAUAGCGCCAUCACUGGGAUUAUAUAGUGUGAGGCAUACAAAUUAUUAUUAUUAUUAUUAUUUAUAUAGUGUCAUUACUGGGAUUAUAUAGUGUAAGGAGUACAAAUUAUUAUUAUUAUUAUUAUUAUUAUUAUUAUUAUUAUAAUAUUUAUAUAGCGCCAUCACUGGGAUUAUAUAGUAAGGAAUGCAAAUCAUUAUUAUUAUUAUUUAUAUAGUGUCAUUACUAGGAUUAUAUACUAAGGAAUACAAAUCUGUAUUAUUAUUAUUAUUAUUAUUAUUAUUAUUAUUAUUAUUAUUAUUUAUAUAGCGCCAUUACUGGGAUUAUAUAGUGUAAGGAAUACUUAUUAUUAUAUUUAUAUAGCGCCAUUACUGGGAUUAUAUAGUGUAAGAAAUACAAAUUAUUAUUAUUAUAUUUAUAUAGCGCCAUCACUGGGAUUAUAUAGUGUGAGGCAUACAAAUUAUUAUUAUUAUUAUUAUUAAUAUAGUGUAAGGAAUACAAAUUAUUAUUAUUAUAUUUAUAAGAGUUGACUGGACUUAUCUGCAGGAGACCCUGGGAAGCAUGGGGUUUGGGCCAGGUCUAAGGGCAUGGGUGGCGGCGCUGUACACGGAUCCAACGGCGCGUAUACGGGUGAACGGAGCAUUAACGGGUGUGUUCCGGAUUUCCAAUGGCACGCGUCAGGGCUGCCCGCUGUCCCCCCUCCUGUUUGCUCUCACACUGGAGCCCUUCCUGGAGGCGGUGAGACGAGAUGGGGGUAUAGUGGGGUGCCUGGUAGGGGGGGAGGAGCAUCGGGUGGCGGCAUACGCCGAUGACAUGCUCUUCCUCCUCGAACAGCCCAGAAUCUCGCUACCGAACCUAAUAGAAGCUUUCCGACUCUAUGGCUUAGUUUCUAACUUGAAGCUCAACAUGGCCAAGUCGGAACUGAUGCCACUCACACGGGACCCGGCACUUCGUAGACACAUCCAGGCGCAUUUCCCCUUCCGGAUUUGCUUGCACAAACUACGGUACAUGGGCAUCUGGAUACCGUGUGAUCUAACUCAAGCAUACUCCUUGAAUUUUGCCCCCCUACUCACAACUCUACAACAAGAUAUGAAGCGCUGGGCCCCCCAAUAUAUAUCCUGGUUCGGACGCAUAAAUGCCAUUAAAAUGAAUGUCAUGCCCCGUAUAUUGUAUUUGUUCCAGACGAUCCCAGUCAUUAUACCAAGGAACUUCUUCCAAACGUUGUCAUCCGCCUUUAAGCAGUUCGUAUGGAACCGGAGAGCUGCCCGUAUUCGGCAGUCGAUCCUGGAACGUCCUAGAAGUGAGGGAGGCAUGGGCUUGCCUUCGGUCCUUACUUACUACCGGGCUACACACUUGGCUCGUCUGGUGGACUGGCACGCUGCUCCUAGCGGGAAGCGGUGGGUAGACAUGGAAAAGACGCAGGCAGGGGGAGGCAAAAGACCGUCCCAGUUGUGGCUGGGAGAUGCCACGUUCCAGGAACUGCGAACGGGCAACCCCUUGGUGGAUGCAACUUUAAAGGUCUGGUGUGGCAUCCGGUUCCCUCAACAACUCACGUCAUCGCCAAAUCCACUUACGCCCGUGACGCAUAACCCAAGACUGGCAGGUGGACUCUCCCCAGGUGAUCUGAGGAACUUUGGGGCCACGGACUGGAUCUACCUGCACCAAUGGUGUAAUGGUCCGAACCUCAAACCGUUGGCUACGCUGCUCCAAGACCGCAGACCCAGCGGCUUGGACAACUUCCGGUACUACCAGCUUAAAACCUAUGUAACCUCGCUAACUGGGAAGGCACACCUCCACCGCCCACUGUCCCACUUCGAACAAAUCUGUGCCGCCAGACAGCAUCUCAUCCAUGGCAUAGCGCAACUCUACUCCAUGCUGCAGAGUUGCGAAGACCAGGCCCCACUAGGGUUCACGGCACGGUGGGAGAGGGAAGCAGGGGUCGAGCUAUCUACCUCUGAAUGGCAAAAGAUCUUUCAACUGACGCACAGGGGGACCAUUUGCUCCAAGUUCCAGGAGUGCAACUACAAGAUACUGGUGCGGUGGUAUAGAACUCCGGACAUCCUUCGUCAUGUCCACGAAUCUCUCUUAGGAGAGUGCUGGAGGUGUGGAGAUGCGGAUGGCUCGGGGAUCCACAUGUGGUGGUCGUGUCCCCGCAUCGAACCUUUCUGGAGAGCGAUACAUAAAGGGAUUAAAGAUGUUACCGGGACGGACAUCCCAUUCCAGCCGCUGCCAAUGCUACUGAAUCAUACGAGCAUGCCUAUUUCCGCUUACAAGAAGGGCUUGGUGAUACACCUUCUCACGGCAGCAAAAUCCCUCAUCCCCACGCUCUGGAGAAGUCAGGUAGCCCCCUCGCUCCACCAAUGGAUUGACAGGGUGGAAACGAUUUACAACAUGGAAUUGAUGACUGCGUCUCUGCAGGGGCGCUCGGAUAAAUGUGCGCUCACAUGGUUUCCUUGGACGGAGUACACGGCCAGGGGGGCCGCGGGGGGAGACCGGUCCGGGGAAGGUGGCGCUCCCGCACCGGUACGGCUUUCCUCACCCACAAUGACUUGACUGUGCCCGAGGUGCCUUCCUGUUUAGGGGGGGGGCACACUUCCCCAUCCAGGCGACUAUGACUUCCCUUCACACGCCCCUACGUCCCUCCCAGACAGAGGACACACGGAGACACUUACACGAGAGUAGGCUCACGGGCUCACUCACCCCCUAACUUAGCAUUCAGAGUGUUUUGGGGAAGGGGGCUGGAAGUACAGAGCAAGGACUGGAGCUAGUACACGGCGGCAUAGGGGGAUAGCGGGUUGGUGAGGCUUCUGAAUAUCUUGGGUGCUGGUGGGAGUUGUACAGGACGAGGGGGGUCGGAGUGGAGGGAUGGGGGCUAACAAAGCAUCCAGAUGGUACGGGGGGAGGUCCUCUGGCGCCUUUAGCCUCACACACUUGGCUCACCCUGGGCCUCAGACUCGAUACAGGCGGUGGUACCUGAUUUGACCCUUAGGGGGCUCAGGAUACUUACGCUAGGGGAGGAGAAAGGGCACGGUGGCCUCGGAGGGCAACCUGCAGCGGACGGACCUCGCCCACGAACCAUCGAUCCAGUGUAGGAGGUUGGGGGGUACCGAGGGAAUUCUGGGCCAGGGGCGAACCCAUUAGAGGGCCGCCUAGAAUACGGUGGCAGGGGCAACAUGCAGUUUAGAAUGCCCGUUCCAAAGGCAAAAGGUCAAGCCAUAUAUUCCAUGCCCCACCCGGCACAUGAGUCACAUGUGCUCUCCGGUGGUCCCGAGAUUGCGGUCCUGUUUGCCUCUCAGAUGUAUCAGCGCAGUCUAAACUCUAGCUUCAUUCAAAUGCUAAGACUCUGUCAAAUUCCCAGAUGUUAUGGCGGCCUACCUGGAGUAUGUUACUUUUUUAUACCUGGCUCCUGUAUAAGGAGAUGAACAUGCUGUAUUGACCUAAACGUGCUGUAUAAAAUAAAAUGGAAAAAUAAAGAUUGUCAAAAAAAAACAAAUUAUUAUUAUUAUAUUUAUAUAACGCCAUCACUGGGAUUAUAUAGUAAGGAAUACAAAUCAUUAUUAUUUAUAUAGUGUCAUUACUAGGAUUAUAUAGUAAGGAAUACAAAUCUGUAUUAUUAUUAUUAUUAUUAUUAUUAUUAUUAUUAUUAUUAUAUUUAUAUAGCGCCAUUACUGGGAUUAUAUAGUGUAAGGAAUAAUAAAUAUUUGUAUUCCUUACACUAUAUAAUCCCAGUAAUGGCACUAUAUAAAUAUAAUAAUAAGUAUUCCUUACACUAUAUGAUCCCAGUAAUGACGCUAUAUAAAUAUAAUAAUAAUUUGUAUUCCUUACACUAUAUAAUCCCAGUAAUGAUGCUAUAUAAUAAUAAUUUGUAUUCCUUACACUAUAUAAUCCCAGUAAUGACACUAUAUAAAUAAUAAUAAUAAUUUGUAUUCCUUACACUAUAUAAUCCCAGUAAUGACGCUAUAUAAUAAUAAUAAUAAUUUGUAUUCCUUACACUAUAUAAUCCCAGUAAUGACACUAUAUUAAUAAUAAUAAUAAUAAUAAUUUGUAUUCCUUACACUAUAUAAUCCCAGUAAUGACGCUAUAUAAAUAUAAUAAUAAUUUGUAUUCCUUACACUAUAUAAUCCCAGUAAUGGCACUAUAUUAAUAAUAAUAAUAAUAAUAAUAAUAAUUUGUAUUCCUUACUAUAUAAUCCCAGUAAUGACACUAUAUAAUAAUAAUAAUAAUAUUUAUAUAGCGCCAUUACUGGGAUUAUAUAGUGUAAGGAAUACAAAUCUGUAUUAUUGUUUAUAUAGCGCCAGCAAAUUCUGUAGCGCUGUACAGUGGGACCAAUCAUUAUAGUGCCCUUCCGCCUUGUAGGAUGGAAGCGUUUGGGGAAAAUUAGUGCUUAUUUGCAAAUUGAUGUGAAUUGUAAAAUUCGGGAUAAAAUAACUAAUUUGACAUAGCUUGGUUGAAGUCUUAUUAAUCUGUUAUUUUAGCGUGAAUUAUGCAAUUCAGUUUUCUGUUAACUACUAACGCUUAGUUGAUAAAUUUCAAGGUGUAUCUGCCGGCCUGAUUGGGACCAUUCCAAACAGCCUUGCUGUAAUCAGCAGUUUAUAUUUUGGAUAAUAUUUAGAUUCCCCGUAGCGGAGCCCAGUAACCACAAGUCCCCAACAAGCUAAAAAAUGAAAUAUAAAAUCUUGCUUCACACCUGUAUCUUUAGUUUACUUCAUCCCCAUUCCUGUCCAGUUUGUUUUACUUUUAUUUUUGCUCAUUCCUUGCUCUACACUCACAAUACCUUUUUUUUUAUUUUUUUUUAAAUAACAAAAGAAACCCUUAGAUUUGCUAUUCGUUUGUUCGUUAUUCAGUUUCCAGUGUCUUCAGUCAAUUAACCUGUUAGAAUAGGAAAUGGUUAUUGAAAAAGCAAUAAAGUUGACCUGUCAUUUUACAAUGCCUUAUUUCUGGUUCUAGGUGUGAUGACCAGCUGUUUCACACAAACAAGGGAGAUCUGUCAAAUGAUUCAGUUCUUUUUCAUCCCCUCAGGAUGCUUUGAAGAUGUGUGACUGUAAGAGAUUCAUGGAAAUGUUCGUUUAACAGGAUCACUGUCUAAAACAAGUUUGUCUGUAUGUGAUGACCUAAAACAGAUAUUCCUUAGUACUUUGUCCCCUGCUGGAAGUACUCAUUAUUAGCCUCUAAAAGAACGUUUUGCCUUUCUGGCAUUGAAUUAAUAUAGUGCCAUCUUCGAGUCUACCUUCAACAGCGCAAUGAGCGGUGGACGUCUCCCGUUAGCUGAGAAGGCUUUGUCUGAAGGAUAUGCCAGGUUGAGGUACAGAGACACUUCGCUUCUCAUCUGGCAACAGCAACAACAGAAGUUGGAGAGCGCCCCUCGUGGUACAUAUCUGAACCGCAGCCAGAGCAUGUGGUACUCGCAGUACGGGAACCAGUCCAUAUUAGUCCGGGACAAAAACACACUCAGUAUUUCAAGAGACACCGGCCAGUCUAAGUUUUGCACAGUAAUGUGAUUUUUAGUGUUCUAUUCAACAUUUACGCACAUAUAGCUGUUUCAGCAGUGUAGUAUGCCAAAUUGUAUUGUAUGUUACUGUAAAUCUCCUAUGAGCUGCAUGUUAGGAUAUGAUUUUCCACAGUAUUUUAUAAGGUUGUGACAUUUUAUGAGUGCACCAUACGUUUUUUGCAGUUGGUCCAUAUACCAUGACACACUUAAAGGGGAAAGGUUUGAGGAUCUUAAUUUUAUAUUUUAUAGAUUGCUUAAAUUAUUAUUCACCAUUAAACAUUUUUAAAAAAAUUAAAAAGACUCAGCGUAGAUUUGAUCCAUCAUUAUUUAUGCCUCUGUUUGCAUUGAAAAUACACCUGAAGGUUUCAGUGCCCAUAAACAAAUAUUGGGAUACUUUGACAGAGUUGUGGUCGCACCAUAAUCGGUACAAUAUAAGACACAAUCUAGGCAUCACCACCUCUGUAGUUGUAAUGGUGCUAUUAGGCUGUGGGUGCCAUCUCCCAGUUAAAUAAAUGCAUCUGGAUUGGGAGCGUUCAACAUAUCCAUGCAAAACGUGGAGAAUGUAGACAUCCGUAUGCAAUCUUUGCAGGACCAAACCCAGGAUGCCACACUAGUGGCUGUCUAUCAUUCACUAGAGGUGGUGUAAUAGAGCAGUGUACAAUCUGCAAAGGCAACACUUGCACUGCAGAGGCCACGUGUAACAGAACCAUUACAUUAAGCUGUAGUGUUCCUGAUGACUAGUGUGUUUUUUUUUUUUUUUUUUAAAGAACUGCUUGUAGUUUAGGCUUUAUAUUUAUACUAUUAACACAGUCCCAUUUUAAUGAUUUCUAAGGCAAAUUUACUCUAUUGUAAAGGCACAAAAAGCCCACAGCAAAUCUAAUUUAUAUAAAUAGUGCCAAAAAAUUGUGCAGCACUGGAAUAUAUAUUUGGGAUCUUUAUAAAGAACAUCGAGGCAUGUCUGCAUGAACUUGGAAGGCGGUGGCUAAAGAUAAUACAGUUCAGUAUUUUGCAUUUCUUUUCCUUUUUUUGCAUAUAUACUAUCCAGAGUAUUUUCUGUUUUAUAGCAUGAGAGAAAAGGCUGCUUUCUAUGUUUCAUCAUUGAAACUCUAUAACCAAACCAUUGUUAAUAUUUGCUUUGUAUAUGUUUAAAUAUGUGAGCAUUAUAUGCUUACUGUAUCCAGGUACAGUUGCCAUAUCAACAGUGUUUUCCUGAUGCACAACUUUUUCAUGCUGCUUGGACGUACGUAGAAUUCGAUUGAUAGCAAGACUUGACAAGACUUCACCCCCCCUCACUAUUUUCAGUAAGGAAAAGUGGUACACCUCUGUGGAGGUACAGGAUGUCUCUGCAUAAGGGGGCAGUUUUUCCCCCAAUCCAUUUGCACUCCAGUACAGAAUGCUUAUGUCCCAUGUUGGGUGCAUGGUAUGACAUUGUAUCUUCCUGGCUGAAUACAGAACUAGGAGAGUGGGAGAAAAGCUGUCUCUACCUGAGACGGCCUACACGCCCUGGUGAUGAUAGGUCUUCUGACCUCCCAUCUCCUCGCUACUGUUGUGUAUAUUUUAGUGCUUGUUUAAGUAUACAUUCUAAUCUUCAAAGAAAUUUUGUCAAACUACUCUAAAAGCUUCAUUCAGCUCUGGAUUCAACAUACUGCCAAACUCUACAAAGAAGUUACCUAUUGAGGAAAAUAUGUUGGCAACUGUAGUCCGAGGAAUACGCAAACACCUAAGGUGCUCCUCUGCACAAGAUCCUGUAUACAUAGCAUCUAAAACCAGUAAAUAAGCGGAAUAAGAACUUCAUAACAGACUUUCCAUAUGUAAUCAUGUUUUGUUUUAUAAUCUCAAUCUGACCAUAGGUAAAAUAACUUUACAAAGCUUUAGCAAAGACUCAUGGAUUAUGACUUCUAGUUUAACCCCUUAAGGACCAAACUUCUGGCAUAAAAAGGAAUCAUGACAUGUCACACGUCCUGUGUCCUUAAGGGGUUAAAUAGUUGGUAAUGUACAUGUUGACUCGCCCCUUCCUGUAGGUACUUGAUUGCAAUGAAUGCCUUGCAUAUCCUCUAUUUGACAAUGAAUGGGUGAAUGCAAGCAGUUUAAGAAUUAAAUGGAUAUGAAUUAAGGAAUUCUUAAUAGUUGCUCCAUAAUGCAC